GUUUGAGAGCAGAAACAAACCAUGGACAAAACUGGUGCACCAUUUAGUUUUGUGUUUGAAGUUUUGUUGAAAGCAGCCAUGUCUAUUCACUUCUUUUAUAUAGAUUCUGUUUCACAAACACCAAGUUGUGAAGUGGUAGCACAGAUCUUAUGACCGUAAGAACCUAAAUCAUGAGCUUUUGGGCCCUUAGUGGCCAUUUGCCAACUUCUGUUCUAGAGGAAGGAAGGAGAGCAGACAGGCUAUGGGUCCUGCCCCAUCACAACUCUCUGCUGUGGUUUGGAUAAAUGUUCCACCAGGCCACAGGUGCUAAGAACCUGAUCCCAACCUGUGGCAUCCCUGUAACCUGGCAGAACCUUUAGGACAUGGGGAAAGUUGGGUCAUUGAGGUGUGUCUUUGUGAGGGACAGUGGUCUUAAUCCCCUUUCUUACUCUCAGUUUUGCUUUCUGGUUGCAAUUAGAUAAGCAGCUCCUUUGCCACACACUACUGGCUCAGAAGCAAUGGGGCCAAAAAACCAUACCCUGAAAUGUCUGAAGUGGUGAGACAAAAUGUGCCCUUUAUUUUAAGCUCAUUAUCUCAGGCAUUUUCUCAUAGCAAUGGAAAGUGAUUAACAUACCCACAUUUACCUUAUUUAGUUUUGAUGGUGGCUGAGCUCUAGCAGGUUUAAGAACUAGGAAAUAUGCCUGUGAGUUCCUGUCAUCUCUGUUGUAUCACAGCCUCAACAUCAGGCCUCAGGAUUACACUGUGGCCAACACCUCCCACUCACCUGGGGACACUAAUUUAUCUUCUUAGCUACUCUAACUCUGGAAAAUAUCUUUAUACUUGAGGUCCAGUAGGGUGCCAUAUUUGCCUCAUCAAAUAUAGAAUUUAUUUCUGUAAGAUAUUUUGAUCCUUUCUUCAACUUCUUUCUUUAGCACUUUCAUGGGAAAGGCAGUAUUCUCUGUAGGAUACUUGAGGAGAAACAACAUGUAAUAAAUAAAUUCUUUUUUCC
rnacentral:lncRNA from 1 species